UACGUAGGGUGCAAGCGUUGUCCGGAAUUAUUGGGCGUAAAGAGCUCGUAGGCGGUCUGUCGCGUCGGCUGUGAAAACCCGGGGCUCAACCCCGGGCCUGCAGUCGAUACGGGCAGACUAGAGUGCGGUAGGGGAGACUGGAAUUCCUGGUGUAGCGGUGAAAUGCGCAGAUAUCAGGAGGAACACCGAUGGCGAAGGCAGGUCACUGGGCCGCAACUGACGCUGAGGAGCGAAAGCAUGGGGAGCGAACAGG
rnacentral:rRNA from 1 species